UACGAAGGGGGCUAGCGUUGUUCGGAUUUACUGGGCGUAAAGCGCACGUAGGCGGAUCGUUAAGUCGGGGGUGAAAUCCUGGAGCUCAACUCCAGAACUGCCUUCGAUACUGGCGAUCUUGAGUCCGGAAGAGGUGAGUGGAACUCCUAGUGUAGAGGUGGAAUUCGUAGAUAUUCGCAAGAACACCAGUGGCGAAGGCGGCUCACUGGCCCGGUACUGACGCUGAGGCACGAAAGCGUGGGGAGCAAACAGG
rnacentral:rRNA from 1 species